GAGGGAUUACUUCGAGAAGCACAAAUUCAAUGACUCUUCUUCUUUGCCUUCAUACUCCUUUCAAAAUGUAGAGACUCCUGCGGAGAAGAAGUUAGAGGAUGUAAUGCCCAUUGCAACUGGACAUGAGAAGAGGAGCUUGAAGCUGAAUUGGAGUUCUCCAGUUUAAAUCUGAGGAGCUUAGGGUUGAAGAGAGUAGUAAUACAGCGACGAAAAGGAAAGAAGGUGGUAGAGAUGUCGUAGUCGCUGAAUCUGAGGAGCUUAGGAUUGAAGAGAGUAGUAAUACGGUGGAGGAGAGUGAAACUGAAGCA